rnacentral:rRNA from 1 species
UUUAGCAUGGAAUAAUAGAAUAGGACGUGUGGUUCUAUUUUGUUGGUUAUGGGACCGCCGUAAUGAUUAAUAGGGACAGUCGGGGGCAUCAGUAUUCAAUUGUCAGAGGUGAAAUUCUUGGAUUUAUUGAAGACUAACUACUGCGAAAGCAUUUGCCAAGGAUGUUUUCAUUAAUCAGGAACGAAAGUUAGGGGAUCGAAGACGGUCAGAUACCGUCGUAGUCUUAACCAUAAACUAUGCCGACUAGGGAUCGGACGAUGUUACUUUUUGACUCGUUCGGCACCUUACGAGAAAUCAAAGUCUGUGGGUUCCUGGGGAAGUAUGGUGGCAACGCUGAAACUUAAAGAAAUUGACGGAAGGGCACCACCAGGGGUGGAGCCUGCGGCUUAAUUUGACUCAACACGGGGAAACUCACCAGGUCCAGACACAAUGAGGAUUGACAGAUUGAGAGCUCUUUCUUGAUUUUGUGGGUGGUGGUGCAUGGCCGUUCUUAGUUGGUGGAGUGAUUUGUCUGCUUAAUUGCGAUAACGAACGAGACCUUAACCUGCUAAAUAGCCCGUGUUGCUUUUGCAGCACGCCGGCUUCUUAGAGGGACUAUCGGCUCAAGCCGAUGGAAGUUUGAGGCAAUAACAGGUCUGUGAUGCCCUUAGAUGUUCUGGGCCGCACGCGCGCGACACUGACAGGGCCAGCGAGUACUCCCUUGUCCGAAAGGACCGGGUAAUCUUGUUAAACCCUGUCGUGCUGGGGAUAGAGCAUUGCAAUA